UCCUCUUGCUAUUACACACAUUACAUUCACAUUACAUAGUGUGCUCAAAGUUAAUCAGAUUAAUAAGUGUUAGCAGGAUUGGGACGUAAAAAUCAGCCAUCUACGGUAUAUGCCUAGGACAAUUUUUUUAGAAACAAAUUCCAUCCCCAGUCAGUAAAUACAGAUUCUUUUCUUUCAUUUAACUUAUAUUGUAGCAAAAAGAUGGUAAGCUAAAGUAUUAUCACCACUAGGGUGGCCAUCAUAAAGGACAUUCCAGUUUUCUGCUACUCUGUCCUCUGUCCUCUAUUGAUAUGAAACCAGAUGCCUUUAUGUCCUCUAUUUUUCUCUUAUAUAUACAGGCAUAUAGGUGUCCUGUUUCGUAUCAAUAGAGGACAGAGGACAGCUGGACCUGUCCUCUGUGAUGGCCAUCCUACUCAUACAGUAGAUACUUAAUACAUUUUAAUCUAUCACCAUGAUAAACUUAAGAAGACCUUAUAUUAAGACUAGAAAAAAAAAAAAACAGCUUCAUUUAAUGUUGGACCAAAUAGUCUUCACAACCGUAGCACCAACUCUGUAAGAUGUUAACAUUUCAGCACCAGUUUACACACAGGCUGUAAAGGAUUAAGACAGAAAAGAAAAGAUUGUUUCAGAACCCAAUAGUUAGCCCCUAAGUCAAAUGGCUAAAUUCCAACUUGAGCAAUUCUUUUUGUUUACCUAAAAUUCCUCUCACAUUGUUUCAGUUGGAUAUAAGAAUUUUCUUCAAUUGAUCCUUUAAAAUGCUCUAUAAUAUUGUUGCUAAGUGUUAGUAAAUAGCUGCCAUUAUUUAACUUCUACCUUCUUAAAGAACUAAAAGAUGUGUCUCAUUGGCUAUAAACUUGAUUAACAUGAUUUGGAAUGAGAGGCACAAUAGAAAUGUCAAAUAUUAUUACUAUUAUGAACUUUAUUAACAGAUGAAACUAGCAAAAGUAGCCUGCAGUCACCUCACAAUGUAAGACACUUGAUUGUCUUCUAAAUCCUUAAAAAAGAUGAAAAAUGAUCUCACCCCACCCUGGAGUAGGUAGAAGGAUAUUUGAUUCUUCACUAUGAGUUGCAAAUCUCUAUCCUGACUUUUCCUGAGGACAUAAUGCCUCAUGCAGCUAUAUAUUUUUCUUCAUCUUUUUCAGAAAAAAAUCAGGGGUUGUCAUUAAGUGGAUACUUAUGAGAUUAGGUUCAAUCAUGCUUUCCUGGAACUCCAGGCCUAAAUGGUUAACAGAGCUGUGUGUAAAUAAAUUAGUUUAUUAACUGCAUAUCUCUAAUGAUGUAUAUUUUUCUCUCUUUUCAAAAUAGCUGCUAUUUAUGUGGUUCUCAGAAGUCCAGUCUCACUGUACAUUUGUAACCAAUUUUACCAUUUCUUAGAAUAUCUUUGGGAGCAAUUCCAGCUCCCACCUCAAUGUAAAUAAUUGAAAAUUACCUAGCUUGUUAUUGUGGUUAUUCUUUGCUUUAUUAUUUGUUGCCCCAGUGUGUAAAGAGCCUCAACUUAUACAAACAGUCCUUUUUCCUGAAAAGCCUACAGUCCAAAAGCUAGCUGCAUGGAAAAGGGGCUCAGUGAGAACACUAGCUACAACAACGGUCUCUGGGUCAGAAGAAUCUACUGAUGGUGCAAGCAGUUACUUGAGAAACAUUUCCCUGUGCUUACAAGCAAUACAAAUGCUUUGAAGAUUUCAUUGUCAUAGAAGUUUUUAUAAAACUCAGUGAUCGGAUGUGGAUAGAUUUUGCAACCUUUAACAUUGAGCACGACAGUUCACUUUUUUCUUUUAAUACUGGAGUGGAGGUAAUUUCUGGAUGUGUGCAGACAUUCAAGUGGUCUUGAAGAAUCCUCCAGGUUUAGUUUCCUGGUAGAAAAACUUACCUGGACAUACCUGAACAGACAUUCAAAUGUGGAGCCCUUAAAGAAGGCAGAGCUUGCAGUUCUGACACUACUCAGCCAGAAGGCUCCUGUGCAAACAUCUCAGUGUGCUGUGCAGACUCCCUUAGUGUGCCCAGAGACAGAUGGCAGCAGUGCACAGAGCAGCUCUGAGUGGCUGACCCGGACUGCGCAGAGUCAGCCUGUAUCUCCCUGCAGCACAAUGUGGGAUUGUGAAGGAGGCAUGUUUUACCACUGGGUUAGCUAAAGUAAUAAACUCCAGCCUUUGUGCACACUGUUUCCAGUAGAUAUGAGGGUAUGGGAGGAAAGCAUCCUGGGAUGCAGGAGAACUAUGCUAUGACUUCUUUCAGAAGAGAAUACAUACCAUCACUCUCCCGGGAGAAGCUCCGGGAAAAAAAAAUCCUGAACAUUUGUGUACUUGUGGUUUGUCUUGGGAGAACGGUGACUUUCCCGGGAGAAACUGAAUGUCUGUACGUGGCCUAUAUUAGCGUUCUUUUUCUCUGAGGAACUUCAGAAAAACCUGGAACUUUAAAAACUCCUAAGUAUGGCUUCAAUUGAUAAACCAAAAGUUUUGCUUCAUGCUUAAUGAAGGAUUCCAAAAGCUUUUUCAAUUAAUUAUUUUUUAUUCCCCACAGUUUGAUAUAUUCAAAUUAAAAAAUACGUUCCAUGUG